AGACAACAAAAUGUUAAAUAUUAAUUUUGUCACCUUAGGUCGAUCGGUAUCUCACAUCCUUAAAUCUAUUAAGGAUUUUAUUUCCUAAGUUUUUUCUAGGUCACACCCAAUACUUUUCCUGGGCCAUUAGCUCAGGUGAUUAGAGCGCACCCCUGAUAAGGGUGAGGUCCCUGGUUCAAGUCCAGGAUGGCCCAUAUCUCUAUGUUGGGGGUAUAGCUCAGUUGGUAGAGCGCCUGCUUUGCAAGCAGGAUGUCAGCGGUUCGAGUCCGCUUACCUCCACUGAUUACCACCUCUUCCAUAAAUUACAGAAGGGAAAUGUUUUGAGUUGUGAUCAAAUUCUGAACGAAUCUAGCUUCCUAAUCAAAUUUAUUAAGAUGCUGGACUCAUUGAAUUAAUUUCAUUGUUUUCAGAGAACCUUGACAACUGCAUAGAUUAUUUUAAAGACAAUAAGCAUCUUAAAUGAUGCAGAUUUAUUAUUUGUGCGAAUGCAUUAAUAACAAUUCUAUUAAGCUGAUGCUUCAAAUUUUGAAGUUAUU
rnacentral:tRNA from 1 species